UCCCGUAAAACAAAUCCAGAACCUGCAGAAAAAUCACUUCUAUGUAAGUCCUAAAAUUUAAUUGGCCCUCCAAACUUCAUUUUAUGCCCAAGUAGACCAAUUUCACAACAUAAUACAAUUAACACGCAACACCUGACUUCCACAAAUAAUUUUCGUAAUAUUCAGAAUUAUUUAAUUUAUCAGAGUCUCAUGAUUCUAAUAAUUAAUUAUCCAUUAAAAUAAUUCUCAACCACAUGAUAUCAAGACAAUAAUUUAUUCUGAGCUUUUAAAUAAUUUAACAAUCCUAUAAUCAUUCAACAACGCACAAUUUAACGAAAAUUCAACCGUAUUAAAUAUUUAAAUUUAAUACCACAAUUCACAUUAAAAAUUCAUAACUAAUUAUUCAGGAAAAAUUUUAACAAACCAGUACAAUCAAAAUUUUCGAAAUAAAGCGGAAAAGAUUCUGCCUCCCGCACGCAAAUCGAGAGGCCGCCACCUGCAGUAGCUAGAAAAUUUGAUGUCGCCGAAAUUACGACAUGAGACCACCUACUCGAAGAUCUCGACGUAAGGAGUCCGAAUAUAUAAUUACUUUUACCUAACUCUUCACCAAUUUGUCAAAAAAAGCCAAGGAAUUUGCUGCUCCGGCAAAGCUCUUCCUCCCUUUUCUAGAGACGGCAACUGCAAUGGAGGUUUAAAAUGGGUUUUUUGGAGCUUGAGGAAGCUAAUGGUAGCAGCGUUACACAACCACAACACCUACAAAAACCCCAAGAAGAAAUGGCAGCCUAUGCCCCUUUUUUCUCAAUUUUUCGAUGAGCAAAAGAAGUAAAUUCGGCAACUGCAGCUCAAGGGAGGCGGAAGACGACAGCAGCUCCAAGCUUCAGGCGGUUGACAAUGGUGAGGAGGGGAGGCAGCCUUGGAUGGAGAGGGAGAGGGUGUAACCGGGGAAAGAAGAGUGAAAUGAGAGGAAAAAAAGAAAUGGGUUCUGGGUGUUAAGGGGGUUAAUAA
rnacentral:lncRNA from 1 species